rfam:Echinostoma caproni strain Egypt genome assembly, scaffold: ECPE_scaffold0004753
GCACUGCUGACGAGUCCCAAACAGGACAGGAAACAGCUGUCCAGUGC